UACGUAGGUGGCAAGCGUUGUCCGGAUUUACUGGGCGUAAAGGGCGUGCAGGCGGUUUGUUAAGUCUAGGGUGAAAGCUCCCGGCUCAACUGGGAGAGGUCCUUGGAUACUGGCAGACUUGAGGAGGGUAGAGGAGAGUGGAAUUCCCGGUGUAGUGGUGAUAUGCGUAGAUAUCCGGAGGAACACCAGUGGCGAAAGCGGCUCUCUGGGGGCAACCUGACGCUGAGGCGCGAAAGCGUGGGGAGCGAACCGG
rnacentral:rRNA from 1 species